rnacentral:tRNA from 1 species
GUGGUACAAAUGGUUAUGCUUUUGGCUGCUAACCAAAAGGCUGGUGGUUCAAGUCCAUCC